GGAAAUAUGGUCUCCGAUGAUACCCCAAAAUGGGAACAACAUCAGUGAGAAGACCCCAUAAAGGUUUAACUAUCCAAGGAAUGGAAGUGAUUCCAGAGUAAACUUGAGCCUCAGAAGGUUGCACUUUUUGCACAUCUUUCAUGUAAUACUGUGUGCCCACCCGAGCAAGAGCUCCCCCAAGUCCUUGGCUGAUUCCAUAAACAAUCACUACCCCAAAUACAAAACUCCAGUGCAAUUCCAAAGCAAGCAUUUUGACCCAAUAAACUGGUGUGAAAAUAGCAUUAUAGAUCCCAUUCUUGGGCUGAUGAUUUUCUUCAACUUCCUCUUUGUGAAUUGGAAUAGUCUCUUCCUCCCCCAUUUUUCUCAUAAAACAAAAUCUUAAGAAAUUCCACUACAAAACCAAUAAGAAUCCAGAUCUAAACCCUACGGUUUCUACAGAUUUCUGAAAAAAUGUCUUAGAAAAGUAGAGGGAUCUUGAUUCAUCUUGAAACCCCUAUGAAAAGUGAACACGAGUAAACUGUAUCAUCUGGUUCUUGUUCGAAAAAUCAAGUAAAACGUGUCAGAAGGAUUCUUAGCCAAAACCAUGUUUUUGAUCUGAUAACUCUGUUUCUAAGCUAAAGAUUUAACCAGAAGAGCACAAAAUUGUCUUAAAGAUUGGCA